rnacentral:rRNA from 2 species
CUCAGGACGAACGCUGGCGGCGCGCUUAACACAUGCAAGUCGAGCGAUGAAACUUUAACAGAACCCUUCGGGGCGAAGAUAAAGUGGAUUAGCGGCGGACGGGUGAGUAACACGUGAGUAACCUGCCUUAGACAUUGGGAUAGCCUCGGGAAACCGGGAUUAAUACCAAAUAAAAUCAUAAUGACACAUGUCAUAACGAUCAAAACUCCGGUGGUCUAAGAUGGACUCGCGUCCCAUUAGCUAGUUGGUAGAGUAAAAGCCUACCAAGGCGACGAUGGGUAGCCGGCCUGAGAGGGUGAACGGCCACAUUGGAACUGAGAAACGGUCCAAACUCCUACGGGAGGCAGCAGUGGGGAAUAUUGCACAAUGGAGGGAACUCUGAUGCAGCGACGCCGCGUGAACGAAGAAGGCUUUCGAGUCGUAAAGUUCUUUUAUAUGGGAAGAUAAUGACGGUACCAUAAGAAAAAGCCCCGGCUAACUACGUGCCAGCAGCCGCGGUAAUACGUAGGGGGCUAGCGUUGUCCGGAAUCACUGGGCGUAAAGGGUUCGCAGGCGGAAAUGCAAGUCAGAUGUAAAAGGCAGUAGCUUAACUACUGUAAGCAUUUGAAACUGCAUAUCUUGAGAAGAGUAGAGGUAAGUGGAAUUUUUAGUGUAGCGGUGAAAUGCGUAGAUAUUAAAAAGAAUACCGGUGGCGAAGGCGACUUACUGGGCUCAUUCUGACGCUGAGGAACGAAGCGUGGGUAGCAAA